GAUGAACGCUGGCGGCGUGCCUAAUACAUGCAAGUCGAGCGAACAGACGAGGCGCUUGCUCCUCUGACGUUAGCGGCGGACGGGUGAGUCACACGUGGAUAACCUCCCUAUAAGACUGGGAUAACUUCGCGAAACCGGCGCUAAUCCCGGAUAAUAUAUUGAACCGCAUGGUUCAAUAGUGAAAUACGGUUUUUCUGUCACUUAUAGCUGCAUCCGGGCCGCAUUAGCUAGUUGGUAAUGUCACGGCUUUUCAAGGCUACGAUGCGUAAACGACGUGAUAGGGGGAUCGGCCACAUGAGAGCUGAGACACGGUCCAGGCGACUGCGAGAGGGAGCAGAAUGGUAUCGGACGCAGUGGUCGAAAGCCUGACGGAGCAACGCCGCGUGAGUGAUGAAGGUCUUCGGAGCGUAAAAAUCUGUUACGAGGGAUGAACAAAUGUGUAAGGAACUAUGCACGGCGUGACGGUACCUAAUCAGAAAGCCACGGCUAACUACGUG
rnacentral:rRNA from 1 species